rnacentral:rRNA from 1 species
UCCGUAGGUGAACCUGCGGAAGGAUCAUUACUGAGUCUUGAAGAGGGUUGCAGCUGGCCUUAUCAGGCAAGUGCUCGCCUUGUUCAAAUCCACUCUACACCUGUGCACUCAUUGUGGACUUUGGUAUUCUGAGAGGGUCAUUUGGCUCUUUUCGAAUCCGGGUUCAUGUUUUAUUAUACACGCUUCAGUAUUCAGAAUGUAUAUUGUGAUGUAACACAUCGUUAUAUAACUUUCAGCAACGGAUCUCUUGGCUCUCGCAUCGAUGAAGAACGCAGCGAAAUGCGAUAAGUAAUGUGAAUUGCAGAAUUCAGUGAAUCAUCGAAUCUUUGAACGCACCUUGCGCUCCUUGGUAUUCCGAGGAGCACACCUGUUUGAGUGUCAUGACAUUCUCAACCUGCAAACCUUUUGUGUUUGGUUAGGCUUGGAGUUGGAGGCUUGCUGAUGGAAUGAAUCCCUUUGGCUCCUCUCAAAUGCAUUAGCUUGGUUCCUUGUGGAUUGGCUCCUGGUGUGAUACUUGUCUACACCGCAGCCAUGAAAUGUUUUGGCAAGCUUCUAACCGUCUCAACGGGAGACAGCUUUUAUAUGAAAUCUGACCUCAAAUCAGGUGGGACUACCCGCUGAACUUAAGCAUAUCAAUAAGCGGAGGA